rnacentral:rRNA from 1 species
GCAAGUCGAGCGCUCACUUCGGUGAGAGCGGCAGACGGGUGAGUAACGCGUGGGGAUCUACCCAGUACUAGGGAAUAACACAGAGAAAUUUGUGCUAAUACCUUAUACGCCCUCAGGGGGAAAGAUUUAUCGGUAUUGGAUGAACCCGCGUCUGAUUAGCUUGUUGGUGAGGUAAUGGCUCACCAAGGCUACGAUCUAUAGCUGGUUUUAGAGGAUGAUC